rnacentral:rRNA from 1 species
AGUGAACGCUGGCGGUAGGCCUAACACAUGCAAGUCGAACGGCAGCACAGUAAGAGCUUGCUCUUACGGGUGGCGAGUGGCGGACGGGUGAGGAAUACAUCGGAAUCUACUUUUUCGUGGGGGAUAACGUAGGGAAACUUACGCUAAUACCGCAUACGACCUACGGGUGAAAGCAGGGGAUCUUCGGCCCUUGCGCGAUUGAAUGAGCCGAUGUCGGAUUAGCUAGUUGGCGGGGUAAAGGCCCACCAAGGCGACGAUCCGUAGCUGGUCUGAGAGGAUGAUGAGCCACACUGGAACUGAGACACGGUCCAGACUCCUACGGGAGGCAGCAGUGGGGAAGAUUGGACAAUGGGCGCAAGCCUGAUCCAGCCAUACCGCGUGGGUGAAGAAGGCCUUCGGGUUGUAAAGCCCUUUUGUUGGGAAAGAAAAGCAGCAGGUUAAUACCCCGCUGUUCUGACGGUACCCAAAGAAUAAGCACCGGCUAACUUCGUG